AUGAACGCUAGCGACAGGCUUAACACAUGCAAGUCGAGGGGCAGCGGGGGUAGCAAUACCCGCCGGCGACCGGCGCACGGGUGAGUAACGCGUAUGCAACUUGCCUAUCAGAGGGGGAUAACCCGGCGAAAGUCGGACUAAUACCGCAUAAAGCAGGGGCCCCGCAUGGGGAUAUUUGCUAAAGAUUCAUCGCUGAUAGAUAGGCAUGCGUUCCAUUAGGCAGUUGGCGGGGUAACGGCCCACCAAACCGACGAUGGAUAGGGGUUCUGAGAGGAAGGUCCCCCACAUUGGUACUGAGACACGGACCAAACUCCUACGGGAGGCAGCAGUGAGGAAUAUUGGUCAAUGGGCGUAAGCCUGAACCAGCCAAGUCGCGUGAGGGAUGAAGGUUCUAUGGAUCGUAAACCUCUUUUAUAAGGGAAUAAAGUGCGGGACGUGUCCCGUUUUGUAUGUACCUUAUGAAUAAGGAUCGGCUAACUCCGUGCCAGCAGCCGCGGUAAUACGGAGGAUCCGAGCGUUAUCCGGAUUUAUUGGGUUUAAAGGGUGCGUAGGCGGCCUUUUAAGUCAGCGGUGAAAGUCUGUGGCUCAACCAUAGAAUUGCCGUUGAAACUGGGGGGCUUGAGUAUGUUUGAGGCAGGCGGAAUGCGUGGUGUAGCGGUGAAAUGCUUAGAUAUCACGCAGAACCCCGAUCGCGAAGGCAGCCUGCCAAGCCAUGACUGACGCUGAUGCACGAAAGCGUGGGGAUCAAACAGGAUUAGAUACCCUGGUAGUCCCAGCCGUAAACGAUGGGCGCUAGGUGUGGGGGGACAGUCCCCCCGUGCCGCAGCCAACGCAUUAAGCGCCCCGCCUGGGGAGUACGGCCGCAAGGCUAAAACUCAAAGGAAUUGACGGGGGCCCGCACAAGCGGAGGAACAUGUGGUUUAAUUCGAUGAUACGCGAGGAACCUUACCCGGGUUUGAACGCAUUCGGACCGAGGUGGAAACACCUUUUCUAGCAAUAGCCGUUUGCGAGGUGCUGCAUGGUUGUCGUCAGCUCGUGCCGUGAGGUGUCGGCUUAAGUGCCAUAACGAGCGCAACCCUUGCCACUAGUUACUAACAGGUAAAGCUGAGGACUCUGGUGGGACUGCCAGCGUAAGCUGCGAGGAAGGCGGGGAUGACGUCAAAUCAGCACGGCCCUUACAUCCGGGGCGACACACGUGUUACAAUGGCGUGGACAAAGGGAAGCCACCUGGCGACAGGGAGCGAAUCCCCAAACCACGUCUCAGUUCGGAUCGGAGUCUGCAACCCGACUCCGUGAAGCUGGAUUCGCUAGUAAUCGCGCAUCAGCCAUGGCGCGGUGAAUACGUUCCCGGGCCUUGUACACACCGCCCGUCAAGCCAUGGGAGCCGGGGGUACCUGAAGUCCGUAACCGCGAGGAUCGGCCUAGGGUAAAACUGGUGACUGGGGCU
rnacentral:rRNA from 1 species